CCGAUCCCCGACCGGUUGCCCGUUCUGGUAAGACCCGUCGCGUGAAGCGGGGUGAGUCCCUUUCCCUCGCCUCUGGCGCGUCGGGGGCCCCAGUGGCGGGCGAUGGUCUUUUUUAUUCUGUGGAAACCUGCUCGCAGGGGGGCGCAGGCCCGGGGCUUGCCACCGAGUCGUCCUUCCUCGUUGUCGGGCGGUCGGUGGGGGCGGGAGGGCGGGCGGGCUGUCGGCAAGUACCAUGAGCAGGCAUGUUGGGACCCGAAAGAUGGUGAACUAUGCCUGGCCAGGAUGAAGCCAGAGGAAACUCUGGUGGAGGUCCGUAGCGAUUCUGACGUGCAAAUCGAUCGUCAGAGCUGGGUAUAGGGGCGAAAGACUAAUCGAACCAUCUAGUAGCUGGUUCCCUCCGAAGUUUCCCUCAGGAUAGCUGGAACUCGACACCACAUGAAUUUCAUCCGGUAAAGCGAAUGAUUAGAGGUCUUGGGGACGAAACGUCCUCAACCUAUUCUCAAACUUUAAAUGGGUGAGAUGCCGAGCUUGCUUAGAUGAUGAAGCCUCGGCGAAGAAUCGGAGUUCCUAGUGGGCCACUUUU
rnacentral:rRNA from 1 species